AUUGAACGCUGGCGGCAGGCCUAACACAUGCAAGUCGAGCGGAUGAAGGGAGCUUGCUCCUGGAUUCAGCGGCGGACGGGUGAGUAAUGCCUAGGAAUCUGCCUGGUAGUGGGGGAUAACGUCCGGAAAAGGGCGCUAAUACCGCAUACGUCCUGAGGGAGAAAGUGGGGGAUCUUCGGACCUCACGCUAUCAGAUGAGCCUAGGUCGGAUUAGCUAGUUGGUGGGGUAAAGGCCUACCAAGGCGACGAUCCGUAACUGGUCUGAGAGGAUGAUCAGUCACACUGGAACUGAGACACGGUCCAGACUCCUACGGGAGGCAGCAGUGGGGAAUAUUGGACAAUGGGCGAAAGCCUGCUCCAGCCAUGCCGCGUGUGUGAAGAAGGUCUUCGGAUUGUAAAGCACUUUAAGUUGGGAGGAAGGGCAGUAAGUUAAUACCUUGCUGUUUUGACGUUACCAACAGAAUAAGCACCGGCUAACUUCGUG
rnacentral:rRNA from 1 species